AGUGUCACCACAGUAUACCUAAUCUGAGGUGUCACUGCCGUCUGCCGUCGAUCAACUGUCAAUUAAAAAGUCAAUGGCUGCUAGCUGGAAAUACUGCAAAUAUACAUAUUUUCUUAAUUUUUACACUUACAAAGAGGUUUUAUUAAAUAUUUGUGCUUAACUUAGGUCAAUCCAUAUCUAUAUAAGUGUCUGUAAUAUCGACUGGAACCGUAAAUACUAAUAGAUCCUUACUUAGUUACUGAUCUUUUUCUAUUGCAAAUGAUGGAUAACAUAGACGAAGUAAUAGAGUUAAAACCAUUGAAAGAAACUGAUAAAAAAGUCUAUAAAUGUGCCAAAUGUGGCUUUCAAACGCUAUAUAAAA